rnacentral:rRNA from 1 species
UUUGUAUAAUGGGUCAGCGACUUAUAUUCAGUGGCAAGGUUAACCAUCUAGGGGAGCCGUAGGGAAACCGAGUCUUAACUGGGCGUUCAGUCUCUGGAUAUAGACCCGAAACCAGGUGAUCUAGCCAUGGGCAGGUUGAAGGUUGAGUAACAUCAACUGGAGGACCGAACCGACUAAUGUUGAAAAAUUAGCGGAUGACUUGUGGCUAGGGGUGAAAGGCCAAUCAAACCUGGAGAUAGCUGGUUCUCCCCGAAAGCUAUUUAGGUAGCGCCUCGGACGAAUACUACUGGGGGUAGAGCACUGUUAAGGCUAGGGGGUCAUCCCGACUUACCAACCCUUUGCAAACUCCGAAUACCAGUAAGUACUAUCCGGGAGACACACGGCGGGUGCUAACGUCCGUCGUGGAGAGGGAAACAACCCAGACCGCCAGCUAAGGUCCCAAAUUACUACUAAGUGGGAAACGAUGUGGGAAGGCUCAGACAGCCAGGAUGUUGGCUUAGAAGCAGCCAUCAUUUAAAGAAAGCGUAAUAGCUCACUGGUCGAGUCGGCCUGCGCGGAAGAUGUAACGGGGCUAAGUAGUAAACCGAAGCUGCGGCAAUAUACUUUAGUAUAUUGGGUAGGGGAGCGUUCUGUAAGCGGUUGAAGGUGUGUGGUAACGCAUGCUGGACGUAUCAGAAGUGCGAAUGCUGACAUGAGUAACGAUAAAGGGGGUGAAAAACCUCCUCGCCGGAAGACCAAGGGUUCCUGUCCAACGUUAAUCGGGGCAGGGUAAGUCGACCCCUAAGGCGAGGCCGAAAGGCGUAGUCGAUGGGAAACGGGUUAAUAUUCCCGUACUUCUUACAAUUGCGAUGGGGGGACGGAGAAGGCUAGGUGGGCCUGGCGACGGUUGUCCAGGUUCAAGUGCGUAGGCUUAAGAGUUAGGUAAAUCCGGCUCUUUUUAA